UGAGAAGCAACAUAAAUUGCGACAAAACAAGAAGUACGACAUCAAAAACAAAAUAAAGGUUGCUUACACAGUAACAUUUUUGUUGAUAUAUAUGUGAUAUGGAAUAACAUUGCCAAAGGAUGAGUAGUUGCCCUUGUAGGUCAAGGCUUAAAACUAGGUUGCUAAUAACAUAUAUGAUGCACUUUCUUCUCUCUUGAAGCCAUAGCUGUUAUUCUUGUUGUUGUUGUUGUUGAAAACACCGUUAUCCUCCCAGCAGGAGGAUCUAAAAUUGAGAUUCAUUAUUUUGGAAGAAAAAAACAAGGAAGGUGCAUCAUCAGUUGGUGACAAGAGCAAAAUAGAAUGAUG
rnacentral:lncRNA from 1 species